rnacentral:lncRNA from 1 species
CAGAGUCUCAGGACCACCACUAUGGCGAGCUGUGAUGGGCUAAGUACCCUCCUGGGGGCUGGGUACCCUGGGAUCCGCUGUCCCUCGUGGAAGACAAGCGUCCCUGCGUGGCUGACUCUGCAAAGUUGUGCUGAGUGUUUAGGUAAUCUACUUAGAAGAGUAGCCAUGUGCCUUCUGUAAUUAGGGAUCCAUGAAGUCUACAACAAGUGGUGUCAUUGUUGAAAUGAAGCACCUGCGCGGCUGUUGAGUGCUGGUUUGGCUCAAUAGCACUUUGAGAUCCCUGAAGGCCAUCAAUUACCCUCUGUCCCAGCCGCCAGGGACUCGGGCUGCUGCAGAGGCCAGAAAUCCUGGAGAGCGUGAUGAAGAGGAAGGCGUGAUGAGUUCCACGG